rnacentral:tRNA from 1 species
GGCAUGGUAGCCGAGUGGGUAAAGCGCUUAUAGCUAUUCACCAAAUAUCGAUGGUUCGAAUCCAUCCUGGAGCCA